rnacentral:rRNA from 1 species
GAUGAACGCUAGCUACAGGCUUAACACAUGCAAGUCGAGGGGCAGCACAGUGUAGCAAUACACGGGUGGCGACCGGCGCACGGGUGCGUAACGCGUAUCCAACCUUCCCGUUACUCUUGGAUCGCCUUCCGAAAGGGAGAUUAAUACAAGAUGGUAUUCAAAUUCCGCAUGUUAUUUGAAUUAAAGAUUUAUCGGUAACGGCUGGGGAUGCGUGACAUUAGAUAGUAGGCGGGGUAACGGCCCACCUAGUCUACGAUGUCUAGGGGUUCUGAGAGGAAGGUCCCCCACAGUGGGACUGAGACACGGUCCAGACUCGUACGGGAGGCAGCAGUGAGGAAUAUUGGUCGAUGGUCGGAAGACUGAACCAGCCAGGUAGCGUGAAGGAUGAAGGUUCUAUGGAUUGUAAACUUCUUUUAUACGGGAAUAAAACACCUUACGUGUAGGGUCUUGUAUGUACCGUAUGAAUAAGCAUCGGCUAACUCCGUGCCAGCCGCCGCGGUAAGAC